AGGAACGAAUUAACAAGUUGUAGGAAUUAAUAGCCUAUUUCUGCCCUGCAAAGCGCAGAGCCCGAUAUGAAAGAAUUAUCUGGGGAAAUGACUUAGUUACUACAUUUCUAUUGCUUUCCAUGUUGAAGAACUUUGUG